rnacentral:rRNA from 1 species
CACAUGCAAGUCGAACGAGAGAGAAGGAGCUUGCUUCUUCGAUCGAGUGGCGAACGGGUGAGUAACGCGUGAGGAACCUGCCUCAAAGAGGGGGACAACAGUUGGAAACGACUGCUAAUACCGCAUAAGCCCACGGGUCGGCAUCGAUCUGAGGGAAAAGGAGUGAUCCGCUUUGAGAUGGCCUCGCGUCCGAUUAGCUAGUUGGUGAGGUAAUGGCCCACCAAGGCGACGAUCGGUAGCCGGACUGAGAGGUUGAACGGCCACAUUGGGACUGAGACACGGCCCAGACUCCUACGGGAGGCAGCAGUGGGGAAUAUUGCACA